rnacentral:lncRNA from 1 species
UCAGUAUACACAUAUUAUAUUCAUAUUAUUAUACACAUGAUAUAUUGUGUAGGUACAAAAUAUUUUGAUAUCCGAGGGGGGAUAUCCCCCCCUCACGUAGAUACGCCACUCAUCUGUAACCUGUGGUAUACAUUGUUUUACUAUACUUCUAUAUGGUACCGAUGGACAUAGACGUGUAUUUUAAUAUAUAGUAAUGGAUUGCAGUCGUUACUAUGCAUAGGUAUUAGGUAUUAGGUAUCAUAUAAGUAUAACUUAACAGCAUUUUUAAAUUCCAAUGAUAUCACAAACUUGUGCCUAUAGUCUUAUAAGUUAUAACGUAGGUAUAAUAAAAUGAUAGUUAUUACACGGCCUUUUCCAGUUCAAAAAAAGCUACUGUUUGCAGAAACUAUAUAAAGCCUAAAUUGCCGUUUUUCUAAUUCAUAAUCUAAAUCUAGAACGCAAUAACUAAUAAGUGAUUCAUACGCGUUACGGAUUCCGUAGUGUAGUAGCCAGGGGCGCCAUUUGGGGGGGAGCAGGGUAUACUUUGGCUCCCCUAUUUUUUUCUGUGUCUUAUUGGCCUGGAUUAAAAUUUAGAAUGCACCGACGGCCGUCCCGAGCCCAAAUUCUCCCGCUCUCGCACUCAAUCGUCUCAAUCGUGCACGACGGUCGCCGAUCAAAACUUUCCGCUAAGCAAUAAGCAUACACCACGAUUUAAGAUAGUACUAUCUUAAAUCGUGGCAUACACCGAUUGGCGAUUUCAAAUAAAUUGUAUGUAAACACGUAUAUUAUAGUGGUGCCAAUUGGAACUGGCUGUAUAUUAUGGUUCACAAAGGACUGACGGCACUGUACGCACGUCGCAUACCGGCGGUUGUUGGUGGGGGUAUACGGUCGACGGACGACUGACUGAUUAGUGAUUACUGGAAAAUACAUUCUUAAAAUAGAUCGAAAAUGAAAUGAAAGCUUAUUGAUAUUAAUGAUACUGAUUUAAGAUUGAAGAGUGAAGAGUGAAGUUUUCACAUGUUAACGUAAUUUACGUAAAAACGUAAAGUGUUGUUAUUUAGUUAUCGACUAUAUAAUUGUUUUUUUAAUUUUGUCAUCAUGAAUGUCGAAAAUGAAAAUAAGAGAAAAGGCGGAGCUGCUCGUUUGCGCGACAAAAACAAAAAAAAAAUGAUUGAAAUAUCAUCCAAAUGCUACAAUAUAGAGCAAAUGUUUACAACAAAUAAGCAGUCAACAAUUAUAGUAAGACCAGUAAGUACAUUUUUAAAUUUCAAUAAAAAAGUAGUUGAUGAAAAAGUGUGUUUUUACUUGUUGGUAAUUACAAACAAAUAACAAUUGUAUUAGCUGUUGUAAUAUAUUUAUUAUGCUAAUUAGUAUUUAUAAUAUUUUUAAUAUACUAAUUUAUAGAUUGCCAAUGUUCCUGUUAUUUUACCAACCACAGAUAAUACAGUUUUAGAAUCAAAUGAUCAGACUUGUAGUAACGCAUUUGAAAUUAAUAUAUGUAAAGUCAGUAAAGACAAUAGUCUAGAUGAACGUAGAAAUGAAUCUAAUGUUGAAGAUAAAGAUAUACAGAAGAUUGCCAAUGUUCCUGUUAUUUUACCAACCACAGAUAAUACAGUUUUAGAAUCAAAUGAUCAGACUUGUAGUAACGCAUUUGAAAUUAAUAUAAGUAAAGUCAGUAAAGACAAUAGUCUAGAUGAACGUAGAAAUGAAUCUAAUGUUGAAGAUAAAGAUAUACAGAAGAUUGCCAAUGUUCCUGUUAUUUUACCAACCACAGAUAAUACAGUUUUAGAAUCAAAUGAUCAGACUUGUAGUAACGCAUUUGAAAUUAAUAUAAGUGAAGACAAUAAUCUAGAUGAAUGUAGAAAUGAAUCUCAUGUUGAAGAUAAAGAUACA